ACUCUUCCUCCCUUGCAAAAAGCCUCUAACAAGCAAUUAUAAGCAAGCACAUCCACCGCACAUUGUUGGUCACGCAUUUCGUCAAACACUUUACAUGCUGACUCUGAUUCGCCAAUAUCACCCCAUCCCCUGACCAAAAUGCUAUAAGUUUUCAGUUUAGGCUCAUAUUGACGCUUAACUCUAUCAAAAAAUUGCUGGGCAACCUUCACAUGCUUCCUUUUGCAUAACACAUACAACAACUGAUCAAGAUCAUCA
rnacentral:misc_RNA from 1 species